UACGUAGGAGGCAAGCGUUGUCCGGAGUUACUGGGCGUAAAGGGCCCGCAGGCGGUGGAGUAAGUUUGGCGCGACAGUUCCCAGCUUAACCGGGAAAGGACUUCGAAAACUGCUCGACUUGAGGACUGGAGAGGAAGGCGGAAUUCCGGGUGGAGCGGUGAAAUGCGUAGAGAUCCGGAGGAACACCGACGGCGAAGGCAGCCUUCUGGAAAGUACCUGACGCUGAGGGGCGAAAGCUAGGGGAGCGAACGGG
rnacentral:rRNA from 1 species